CGGGGCGCGGGGGAGGGGCGGGGCGCACCUGAAGGCCAGGCAGUGCUUCUGCUGCCUCUCGGUGAUGAGCAAGGUCAGGUCCCGGCAGCAGUAGCGCUGGUAGCAGGUCCCGCAGCAGAAGGUGAAGAACUCGCAGCUGAAGCCCGGAUGCCACGAGCCGUUGCGGUCCAGGCACCCAGGAGCCUCCUCCCGGGCCCCAGUGAGGGGCAGAGGCUUUCCUGGAAAAGGAGAGGCACAGUAAUUAAUCUGUGAUCAGAGGAGACCAACUGCCAACUUUGCCAGGAGCGGGCUCUCCCCGAGGGGCCUGGAAUAUGACGCUGAUGCUGCCGGCGGCCAACGCUGCAAAUGAGUCUGCCCCGUUGUACAGAGGUUGGAAGAGAAUUCUCCCCGUUUCACGCAGAUGGGCACGCCGUCUGUCGGGGAGCCUCCUGUUUGAGCACCAUGAUGGAACGGAGCACUCUAGGAUUGCCGACACACAUGGGAGACUGAACCGAUCUUACACAAUCUGUGUCCGCCACCCCAGCCAGGACUACGCUGGAGUUGACUGAGGACACGUUAACGGCUCCUGACAUCAUGAGCGCUUAUUACGUGCACACAGAAUUGCUGACAGGAGCAGCCUACUCUGUAACCCUUAACUUUCUUCGUACUCAUCAAUCCGAGUUCUCAAACCACCUUACCUUUAACUUCUGCCUAUAGAAGUGUCUGUUUGAAUCCUAACUUGUCAUCACUCUGAGAGGUUCCCCUUAUCUAAAAAUCUGACUGGCAGGGGCACCUCGAUGGCUCAGCUGCAUAAGCAUCUGAUUUUUGAUUUCUGCUCAGGUCAUGAUCUCAAGGUUGAGAGAUGGAGCCCCACGGAGCCUGCUUGGGAUUCUCUCCCAUCUAAAAAAAUAAAUAAAUAAAAAAAAAAUGUGAUCGGCA